rnacentral:tRNA from 1 species
GCAAUUUUAGUUUAUUAUAGAAUAAUGAUUUGUCUAGUCAUAGGUGGGUUUGUUCCAUGUUGCU